rnacentral:lncRNA from 1 species
CUACACCAGGUCUCAACUCAGAAAGAAUUCCAACUUUCUAACUAGUGCCAAGGGCAGGACCCGGAGCCGGAAGUGCUUGCCUUUUCCCUGUCAGGACCCAGAGGUUACCUCCCAUCAGCCCCGGCGCUCUCUCAUCCCUUCUCUCUUCCUUGGUGCUUCUUUUUCCUGCUCGGCAUCAUGGCUGCCCUCAGAUCCCUUGUGAAGCCCAAGAUCGUCAAAAAGAGAACCAAGAAAUUCAUCCGGCACCAGUCAGACCGAUAUGUCAAAAUCAAGCGUAACUGGUGGAAACCCAGAGGCAUUGACAACAGGGUUCAUAGAAGGUUCAAGGGCCAGGUCUUGAUAUGAUGCCCAGCAUUGGUUAUAGGAGCAAAAAAAAAAAAAAAAAAAAAAAACCAGAAAGCACGUGCUGCCCAGUGGCUUCCGGAAGUUCCUGGUCCACAAUGUCAAGGAGCUGAGAGUGCUGCUGAUAUGCAACAAAUGAGAAGAAUAAUGUCUGGGGUGAAGGUGAAGCACCCAGCCCAAGACUCAGCAGCCAGGAAGUGGCCCAGCGCUCUUUAUACCACGGGUGCAGGAAUUCACACAGAAAAGUGGAGGCCAAGGCGUGAGAAUUCCUCAAUGACUGCCCUCUAAAGGAAGAGGUGAGUGUGGGGCCUGCUCUGAGUGCUAAACACAGGCAGUCUCUGUGUCUCCCAAGGAACCCAAUCGCUAUCACAUUUGCUUUAAAUAUUUAGAGACGCACGAUUUGUUUCCUUGUCAGUCAAAGCCAAGAGGUGGCAUGUGAUGACAUGCUGCCAAAUGCUCAGGGCACAGACGGAAACUUUCAUGUCAACCCUGACAUAGUCACCACAGAUCUCAAUGGCCUUGACGUGCUCUCCUGCUGAGAUUUACAUCCCCACGGUGACUUUGGGCUCUUUCAUAUUUCUGGCCCAGUCAGCCUGUUUGGUGAUUAGCAUCUUUGUUUCUUUGGGGUCUCCAGAUCCAAAGAAAUCCUGAGGAAGCACAACAAACAAAAACACUCUGGAUCAGAACUUCCUGUGCCAGCGUUACAUCAGGGUUUUCUAGCAGCAAGGGCGGGCUCCACAUGGCUGAAGCAGGCAACCAGGAGGUAGGCAGGGCCCGGCCCUGAGGGGCUGAGUUGGGGGAGUCCCAGGUCUCGGGAAGAGUGAUCUCAGGCUGCCCUGCAGGUGUUCCUGGGGGAUCCUGGGACAGCAUCAGGGACGCUGGCCCCCAGUGCUUCCUUCCCAUCUCACAAAUGGGCAUUUGUUCAUCGGCUAAACAACACUUUCUAGACUAUUUGGGGCACUGCACAUGAAGUCUGCAGGGUCGGGGGUUCAUGAUCAGGCUGUCUCUCUCUCACAUAGUUUGGUAAAUACAGGACUGUUCCUAAACAGCAAUGAGACAACCUGGUGCACAGUUCCACAUAUCGAGACCUGUCAUCUUAUUCAGAUCAUAUGGGUGAUACCACAUGCUUCAGAGUGAGGCUGAGCAUGGGUUCCCCUAAACUUACACAGACAAAAUGACUUACAGUGUUUGCCGGCCCUCCGUGCCCUCCAUGCCCUCUCUGAGUCACCAGCAAACAUUCUGUGCCCUGAACUAGAGAAUCAUCACAUUGUCUUUGCCCCAGUUACUUUCCUGGAACAGAUAACAAGCAAACCUCUCUCUGGUUAGUUGCUUCUCGGCUGAAUGGUUAGGGAUCCUGUGCUGAGGUCAGGUCUGCAGGGGUGAGAACCUGAUCCGACAGUGGGACAGCAGGAGGCCAUGGGGGGAUCUGAGGCAGGGAAGGUGCUCAGGAGAGGACCUGAGAAGGAAGAGAUGGCUGUGGUCCUGGAGGCUCAGGGAUCAGGCCUAGGGCCUGUGUUCCUUCGGCCUCAGCAUACCUCUGAAGCGGUAUGCCCAGCUUCUCUGGGCAGGCCCUACAAUGUGUGAGAAACAGCCUCAGAACACCACCUCUUUUCAGGGUAGUUACCCAAAAUACACACGUGGGAGUUUGCCAGAGUUGAGGCAGCUUUUAAAGGUGGAGCUUUUCAAAAAGGGAAACUGGGAGCACUUACAGCCCAGGUCUAUGUUACUGGUAAGAAGUGGUUUGUCUCAGGAAUAAUGUACCCUGUGGAGAGUACUUUGUGUCAGCCUCACUGAGAACAAAAAAAGCACUCCUUUCCCCAUGAUUAACACUCAUGUGUCAGGAAAGUACAGUCAAUGUAUGCUAAAAAUCCACUUGAACAAUUAGCUCGCUUUUUUCCCUCAUUUGCUUUCAGAGUAAAUGUGCUUUCAGAGUAUUAGGUCGGCCUAAUAUAUGAUACAUUUUAAGAAGGGGAGGAAAGCGCAUUGUAUACCCUGAUGCUGGGACCCAAUAGAAGACAGGCCCCCUGGCUGGCCUUUGGUUCUCCCUGGAGCUGACAAAGGGAAGGGGCUUGGAAAGCAGCCACUGUCCCCGCCUAGUUUGGGCCUUUACAGACACACCUUUCCUUUUGGCAGCUGCUAUGGCACGGAUUCUCUAUGCCAGCACGAAGCUGGAAAACCUGCCUACCUGGCUGGUGAAAUGAGGGUGGCAGCUGGAGGAAACAGGCAUCUUAGGAGACUAGAAAUGUCCUUCAAAGGGACUUCAGUGAGUGCUCAGGGGACCAGGGGUGACUGUGUUAAGAAGGGUUAGAGGUUGAGAGGGAGCCAUGAGCUUGGGUCAUCACCCCAGUGAGACCAUCCAGGCACACAGCUCCCAGGCUUGGGAGGCCGCCUCCAGUCCACCAGGACCCUCAGGGAGCUGUGACUUCAUUGAAGCUGGGUCUAAAGGCUUCCUUCAAGGCUCAGCAAACUGGGUUUUCAAAGAUUUUUGAUCCCUGAAGCUAAUUUACACGUUAUGUGGGGCCAUGGCAAAGACUUGGCCCUGAAGUGGACAGAAAGAGGCUGUGCUGAGUGAUGAAUGAGACUAAACAGUGUUCUCAUGCUUGGUGAUUUUGAUGAGAACAUACUACAUAAGAGUUAAGAGCAUUAUAAUUCCCUUUAUCACCAUAUAAACAUGUCACUUAUCCGGAAAGCAUACAAUUUAUUUGUACAUGAGAAUGUAAAUUUAAAAAUUUUCUGAAAACUAGAUUAAAUCUUGAGAAGCAAUUUUCAAGUAAACAAAAACAUGCCAUGUUAAUCAGCACUAGAUCUCCCCCACCCCCCACAUAAUGUGUAUGUACACAUUUCUCAAAUUCAGACUGCAGUACAGCUGUCUCCUUGGAGGCGUCAGGGGUUCCUAAGCCUAAAUUCUACCUCUAGGGUCUUGAUCCCUCAAGAGUUCAUCCUGAGUUAAAAUUUUGUUAUCCCCGGAAGCAGAGAUGCACUGACUCUGGUGAUCUCAGUAUGAAUGUGGUAUGAAAUCUUCUAGGUGUCUGUGGUGGGGCCUGAGGGAGGGUAGGAAAGGUGACGAGGAAAAAGUAGAGGGAGCCUGAACACCCUGGGUCUCAGGUACGGAGUGAAGAAAUCACUAAGGUGAAAAGACAGGCUGGGGCCCAGGAGCUCGUCCAAGUCCUGAUGAACAACAAGUCCUGGGCAACAUCACAGGCCACCAAACACACCUUCAGCUCCAGGGUCGAAUAGAUGGUGGAAGAGCACAGCCAUCUGGAAAAUCAGAAAAAAGUGGGGAAGAUUUUCUAUCUUGAACUUGUGAGCUGGAGAAUUACCAUUAGUAGCCCACUAAUAGGUUAUGGCCGAUGAGUCCCUUCAUAACACACUGAGAGCCACUUUUGACACUCCCAGAAAAGGCAGGUUAACAAAACCCCUUGAUGGAAGGAAGACCCUCAUUGCCCAAUGUACCCAAGCCUCUUUGAACCUUGCUUAGACUGAACUGCAAAUGUCUUGACUGCUCUGGGCUCCUUAGUGCAACUCCUUCCCACAGAAGCCAUCAGGAGCCUGGUCCAGGAAGCUCCUCUCCUACACCUGCCUUAAAAGGCCCAGCUCUGCUGGGGAGUAAGGUUCAUGGGGGCCGUCCCAAUGCAAAAGGGAAUCUCUGCCAUCACCCACUGCAACCACAUGGUAGCCACUCUGCAGCCGGCAGGCGUGAGGCAUGCUGCGCUAACAUGGGAGGGCGGAGGCUCUGCCUGACUUCCCAGAAGCCCAGUGAGAAGUCCAGGACAAUCAGCAGGUGCUAUGGGAACCUUGGCUGGCAGGCACCAUGUCGUCCUGUAUGAUCGGCAGGACCGGCUCCUUCCUGAAGACACCGAUUCUUGGCGGCUCCUGACAAGGAUUGAGAGGAUUUGUGGGGGACAGCCCUGAAGCCCUGAGCCCUCAACUCAAUGAAGGGAUUGUGCUGGUGUAGACCCACAGCCAUCCAGCUCUGUCACUGAUGAAGGUCUGAACUGCCAUACUCUGCCCCUUUGGUGUCAGCCUUAAAGGUCAGUUUUAGGUGAGUUUCAACCAGUGGCUGUAGAUGGGUCCUUUGUUUACCAGUUUCCCCACAUCCUGUCUGAGACCAUUGCUAGUUUUUGUCUGCACCAGUCUUAGGGAAAACAACCUGGACACCGUGGGUGAGAUCACCAGUGGGCUCCAAGCCAGAGCAUGGGCCUGGGACAGGGUGGGUUACCUUGGCAUACUCUAACAUACUCAAACCUCAUUUCUUUUGGGGUGAUCAGACCCAACAGCAGGUCAUGGGGGCGACGAAGUCCAGUGGAGUCCAAGGAAUGAGAAAGACAGUUUGAGAGACAAAAUGGGACCAGGGGGCUAUCACAAGUGUGGAGGCUGCAACAAACAGGUGGUGAGGAUGUGGGGGUUGAAAGGAAACGGUGUAUCAAGUGAAUGAGAAACAUAUGGCUACUUGAGAACAUGGGAAUGCUAGAAGCAAGGAGCAGCAAGUCUAGCAAACAUGCAAGCCCUGCCUCAGCUUCUCUCCCAACACUCAGCUUUUCUUCCAACACAUUUCAUGUGCAAGGUUCUCGUGCCCACUCCUCUUGUACAGUUUGGCAGCCUCAUGGAGCUUCCCUGGUAGGAAAACACAUCUGCCAGAAACAGGUCAUUGUUGGUCUCUCCCCGCUUCUUCCUCUCCUGGAAAAAUUAGAAGCAAAGGAAAUGGCCUCUGCAGCCAUGGGCAGAAAGCAGCCUUUACAAAGGUUAGAUGUGGCUAUUUCAAGUGAGGCCCCUGGGCCUUCCUACUGGAACCUGGGCUUGGCUCCUGGCUGUUGUCUCUCUCCCCUAGGUUCCCGCUGGGAAGGCUUGAUAACAAAAGCAGGCUUUUACCAGACAAGCAAAGAUCAAAAAAAGAUGCAAACCUUUGUUUGUUUAAUGGAAAUUCCUCAGGGUUGCUUUCCUGUGUAUUCCAAAGCUAUGACGGAAUAGUUUGAAUAGUGUGUGCUCUGACUCAUCCAUGACCCCUAAGCUCCCAAGAUCUCCCAAAUCCGCAGGCCCCGUUUGGCAGAGUUGUGGCUCAUGGGGAUGACAGAGCAGAAUGUUUAGGGUUUCUGCCCAAGAGGGAGACCAAUAAAAUAGGAUGACAAGUCUUACGAUGUCCCUACUUCUAAAGAGAAGGUAAGAAAUCCCGUGCUGAACAUCCACUAGGUUCUGGGUAUAUACUUUAUACACACAUGGCCCCUUUAUUCCUCUCAGUGACCCUCAGGGUAGGUCUCACUACCCAAGUGUUAGAGUGAAGGACGCUGAGACCAAGAAGAGGAACAGGUCAGGGUCAGACAGAGCUGGAAUUUGGACACAGUUCUGUCUGACUCCAGAUAUUCCUUGUAUCACACAAUACUGUCUUCUGAAGCAAGUGAUUGUCCCCAACACACACACACACACACACACACUCUCUCUCUCUCUCUCUCUCUCUCUCUCUCUCUCUCUCUCUCUCAGCAGAGCUGAGGAUAAAGAGGAAUAUCCUGCACACUUCUUCCUUCUGUGUCAGGGAACAUUUGCUUGUCUACAGCUCGAGUAUUUGUAAACACUCAGUAGCACCCAAACCCUGAGCCCUAGCAGUUUCCUUUUGCUUGUUUACUAGCAAGAGUAGCAUGUCGGAGGACGAUGAGACAUUGAAUCAAACUCUUAGACAAGCUGGUGAAAGUUUUAACGACUGCUGGAGGCAACAUGCUUCCACACUGACAGAAAUCAUCUUUCAAAAAUCCUGCACAUAUCUCAGGCUUAUGAAACAAACUAAUUCCUAAUAGUUGGAAAUGAAUUAAAAGCUUGCGGUGAGAUAAAAGAUAGAUUUUGGCUGGAUGUGAUGACUCAUGCCUGUGAUCCCUACACUUUAGGAGGGCACAGCAGGAGGAUCGCCUGAGCCCAGGAAUUCAAGACCAGCCUGGUCAACAUAGCAAGACUCUCUCUCUGCAAAAAAAAAGAAAAAAAAAAAAACCUCCCAAAAAAAAGGUUUUACUAGGCAUGAAAAUGAGUCCAUUUCCAUUCUAGGCCCCAGGAUAUCACCAUGACCAAUAAAAACAAUCUGUGGCACUCAGCAGGUGCAUGUCAACAUGGGCAGGUUCUUUCUCCCCGUCAGCAGGACAAGAACAUCUCCCCUAUCCAAAAGGCACCCACUGAGGAUCCGCAGUUCUCUGGAAUUAUGCUGAGCACCCAGAUGUGUGCAACUAAGCCCUGAGCAGUCGAUGUGGAGCGCACUUGAAGGCACUUCAUUUUUUUUUAAGAUACACUCUUAGGAGUUUACUUUAACCCACUUCCCAGCUCAUAGCACACGAGGAGAGGCAGACAUUUUAACCUUGGUAAGACCUGACAAAUGACAAUAGUUGGACCCCACAGCAAUCAUUACUUUUGUAGACAGCAAAGUUAUGCUCCUUGGCUUCAGGUGAAGACCCCCAGAUCCAGGCCAGUGGAUUUACAAGUGAGAGUCAGCAGCACUGGGCAUUUCAGGCAAUAGCUCUGAACAAGCCCUUUACCAUGCGGGUAGGUAAACCCCAGAAUAUACAGAUGCCCCUUACGAUACAUGGGUGGGGAGGGUAUGUGGCCGAGAGAGCAUAAGCUUAGGAGACAGAGUGGAUUUGAAUUCCACUGAGCUUUUGGCUGUGGACCCAUGGGGACGUGGCAUAUGUCUCGCUGAGCCUUAGUUUCCUCCUGCAUGGAAUAGGGAGAGCAAUAGUACCUGCCUCAUUCAGCUAACGUGAGGAUCUAGAGCAGCAUUUGCAUAAAUGACGCGUGGGGCACAGAGCAGACUCAACACAGAGCAGCUUACGUUAUGAGGCUUGGCAGGCUGGGAGCUCCUGUCGGCCUCUCUCCUCAGCUCUGUGCCCACUGAGCUCGGCACAAGGGUUGGCCCAUGACAGGUGUUUAUUAUGUGGAAAUAAAUGAGAGGGACAAGACAUUUGCUGAUUUCUUCACUGUUUCCAACUGGGAAUUCAAAUGUAUCUCACGUUCCCAUACCCUCACAAUAAAUCUGUUCAGGAGAAAAAAUGUGUACGCCUUUUAACAGACAGCACUGAGAUAUACAGAAAGUAAGAACUUUCAGGCUGGGCGCGGUGGCUCACGCCUGUAAUCCCAGCACUUUGGGAGGCUGAGGCGGGUGGAUCACGAGGUCAGGAGAUCGAGACCAUCCUGGCUAACACAGUGAAACCCCGUCUCUACUAAAAAUACAAAAAUUAGCCAGGUGUGGUGGCGGGCACCUGUAGUCCCAGCUACUCAGGAGGCUGAGGCAGGAGAAUGGCGUGAACCUGGAAGGCGGAGCUUGCAGUGAGCCAAGAUCGCGCCACUGCACUCCAGCCUGGGCGACAGAGCAAAACUCCGUCUCAAAAAAAAAAAAAGAAAGAAAGAACUUUCUGUCUAAGGGCAGGGCGUGGUAGCUCAAGUCUAUAAUGCUAGUACUUUGGAAGGCUAAAGUGAGCUAAUUGCUUGAGCCCAGGAAUUUGAAACCAAACUGGGCUACAUGGCAAAACCCUGACAAUACAAAAAAUACAAACAAAGUUAACCAGGCGUGGUGGUGUGCACAUGUGGUCCCAGCUACUUGGGAGGCUGAGGUGUGAGGAUUGCUUGAUCCCAGGAGGUCUAGGCUUCAGUGAGCCAUGAUUGUGCCACUGCACCCUGGCCUGGGGAACAGAGUGAGACCCUGCCUCAAAAAAAAAAAAAAAAAAAAAGAAUAAAAGGAAUGGUGUCUACCACCACCCAGCGCCCAGUUUCAUUAGCCCACUGCAGGCCUAUUGGGUUGGAUGACAAACUGAAUAUUCUCAGCCAGGAACAGUAGGGCUGGGAGUUGCUCCAGAACUCUGGGGCGCUCAGUUCAGACUGUGGGCCUUGCUCCCCAGGUCCAUUUCUGGGGAAUGGAGCUCAGCUCAUGUGCAUUUGGGAAACUCCUCCAGCGCUAUCAGAUUACUGGAGUCUGAGAGGAUGGUGACCAGCUAUCCGCCACCAGGAGGAUGCAAACCAGUUCCUGAGAACCUACUGAAUCCUCACAGCAGCCUGUGACGUAGGUCCAAUCCCUUUUCACAGACAAGAAACCCAACCCUGGAGAGAUCGGGAACCCAUCUGCCUCAGUCAGUUACCACGUGACAGCUCACACUGCCCACUGCUGUCUCCUACUGUGUGGCCACUCUGCCCCUGGAGCAAGGCUGUGGCCCAGAUGCCCAGACGCCAGUGAGCUCUGCUCCCGUGUCCUCAGGGCUUUUGCCUGCUGAUAUGGUUUGGCUGUGUCCCCACCCAGAUCUCAUCUUGAAUUCCCAUGUGUUGUGGGAGGGACCCCGUGGCGGGUAAUUGAAUCAUGGGGCAGGUCUUUCCCAUGCUGUUCUCAUGAUAGUAAGUCUCACGAGAUCUGAUGGUUUUAAAAAGAGGAGUUCCCCUGCACAAGCUCUCUGUUUGCCUGCUGCCAUCCAUAUAAGCUGUGACUUGCUCUUCCUUGCCUUCUGCCAUGAUCAUGAGGCUUCCUUAGCCAUGUGGAACUGCAAGUCUAAUUAGACCUCUUUCUUUUGUAAAUUGCCCAGUCUCACGUACAUCUUUUCCAGCAGCGUGAAAAUGAACUAAUACACCUGCCACAAGGGCUGCCCCUGAACCCCGAACCCCAAGUCCACUUUCUUGACAAGUAAGAAUGCUUCAACUUUUACCUCAAUGCUGCUGAUGAGGUCUUGUACUCUGAUGAAAGCCUGUGGGGAAUAAUAAAAUCAGCUGCCUUCUUGGCUUCAAAAGUGGGUGACUGGCUGGGGGUGGGAAGUCAAGCUCACCUAGACAGUGAGCCACAGAGGAGAGGAAGGGAGCAAGCACAAAUUAAUCAUCGUGCGUGCAGGAGGUUAUACCACCCAGUGAGGCGCGGCUUUAUCCCCAAAAUUGGAUCAUGCAAAGAACAGCAAAGACAUCCCGGUUGCAUCAGUCAUUUUGGGAUCAGGUAAAACAAAACCGCGAUGCCACAGUCUGUGGCGGUGCCUCCUUGGGAGACUCUCGAGCCAAAGAAGAAGCCAGUUUGACCCUCGGCGGGGGGCGGGGGGGGCGGGCAGGCAGCAUCACAGCAAGAGAGAGAGAGAUGCAUGGACUGAUGAGAGACUGCCUAUACAUCUUGGCGACAUGGGUAGAAUGCAGGGGACAGCUGUGCCUACCCAGUCGUGCCACAGACACAGGGGACCCAGAGCACCUGGUACUGCAGAGGGCGUGGAGGAGGGGAAAGCUGAGAGGGCAUAAACACAGAUUCUUGGAGAAGGUGGAGGGGUAGGGAAUGAAUCCCGCCAAGUCUGUGGAAGGCAAACUCUUAUAUAAAUCCUAAAAUUGCAGCCCUUGCCUUGAACUCACAGUAAAGCCAGAGACUUUAACUCAUGGACCUCUAGAAGUUUCUGAGGAACAAGCAGACUGGUGUUAGCUAAGCUAGUUUUGCUGCUUUCAGAUUCUGCCCAGGGUUUGGAGGAGCACAAGCCACCAGGUCAGGCUGCUUUCAGGUGGCUUUGCUGUCACCAUUUAUCGCCCCAUUCAAAAUGGGCUGACCUGUGCCUAGAGGAGGCAGCAGCUCCAGAGCCCUUUGAACCGAACACGCAGAGCAAUCCUGACCACUUGCAGCCUCUGCUCAGCAGCAUGGCAUCCUCCCUCCUGAAAAGACCUCAGGGGAUGAGCGAGUCCCCAGCCUCUGGCUGCCUUGCAGGUGACCACAAUGCAACUUCAUCUUUUCAUCCCACAGGACCAGGCUUCCUGUCAGAGACUGAGGACCCAGGAAGAAACAUGUCUCGGCCCCUGUCCCCCUCCACAAUUCAGAGGCCACAUUCUAACAGGGGAGGCUGACCAAUUAAACAGAUAAUGACACCUCCUAGAGCUAAGAGCUCUCCGACUAUGAACCAGAUGCCUGGAGAACACGGAUGAAUGGUCUGAGCAUGAGCAGGGGUGGGAGGCAGCGUUAAGGGAGGCAUCAGAGUCAGAACCUAGCAAACAAGUGUUUGUGAAGAAGAAUUCAUAGAAAAGGGCAAUGCGGGCAUCACAUGGGCUAAGGAACAGAGGGGUAGCAGUAGCUGUUGUGCCAAGCUGCAGGUGUUAUACACUACCCUCUAGAUCUGGGUUUCCUUAAAACACCUUGAGAGGACAACCCUGCAAAGCACGGCACAGUGGCCGAGAGGGAAAGGAGCAUUCGAGGUCUCAGUCCUCGCUCUGAGCCUACUUCUCUGCUUCUGGGCUCCAGCCAUCUUUGUGGAAAGGGGGCUGCUAGUGACACCCUCUCAAGGGUCUUUCCAGCUCUAGGUCGGCUGUGCUGGAGUCUAGGAUUUGCCCACUGAGAAAUCUGUUUCCAAGUUCCUUCAACCUGAUGCAUCCUGCAGCAUCACGGCAGCUGUUCAGAGUGGUCAGAAGGCCCCUGAAUGAGCUCAGUAGAGGGAAGCCUGGGAACAGGGAGGCACCUGCAGCUCUACUCAUGGCCUGGCCAGAGCUCAGCAGCUCUUCUCUGCCAUCUAGUGGGGAUGGCAUACCAUCACUGGGGACCACCCUGUGCAAACUGGUGAGCCUGAGUGCCUGUCACAGAGGGAAAGAAAGGGGGGGGAUACAGGAUUUAGAUGAAAUAGCAACUCCUACCCUAUUGUCAAAAUCAUCCAGCUUUUUCAAAACAUCAUAUUGUACUGAUUUUUUUGUGUUUUUGACAGAGUCUUGCUGUGUCACCAAGGCUGGAAUGCAGUGGCAUGAUCUCGGCUCACUGUAGCCUCUGUCUCCCUGGUUCAAGCAAUUCUGCCCCAGCCUCCCAAGUAGCUGGGACUACAGGCAUGCGCCACCACACCCAGCUAAGUUUUGUAUUUUUUUAGUAGAGUCAGGGUUUUACUUUGGCCAGGCUGGUCUUAAACUCCUGGCCUCAACUGAUCUGCCUGUCUCGGCCUCCCAAAGAACUGGGAUUACAGGCAUGAGGCACCGUGCCUGUCCCAUGUUGUACUUAAUAGAUAUUUACCAUAUACAAUUAUUUUUUAAUUUAAAUAAAUCAAUGAACAGUGUUAUUUUUUAAA